AUUGAACGCUGGCGGCAGGCCUAACACAUGCAAGUCGAGCGGGGUUUUCGGACCUAGCGGCGGACGGGUGAGUAAUGCGUAGGAAGCUGCCCGAUAGAGGGGGAUACCAGUUGGAAACGACUGUUAAUACCGCAUAAUGUCUACGGACCAAAGUGUGGGACCUUCGGGCCACAUGCUAUCGGAUGCGCCUACGUGGGAUUAGCUAGUUGGUGAGGUAAUGGCUCACCAAGGCGACGGUCUCUAGCUGGUUUGAGAGGAUGAUCAGCCACACUGGAACUGAGACACGGUCCAGAAUCCUACGGGAGGCAGAAGUGGGGAAUAUUGGACAAUGGGCGCAAGCCUGAUCCAGCCAUGCCGCGUGUGUGAAGAAGGCCUUCGGGUUGUAAAGCACUUUCAGCGAGGAGGAAGGGUGGUGUGUUAAUAGCACAUCAUUUUGACGUUACUCGCAGAAGAAGCACCGGCUAACUCUGUGCCAGCCGCCGCCGUAA
rnacentral:rRNA from 1 species